rnacentral:rRNA from 1 species
UACGUAGGGGGCAAGCGUUGUCCGGAUUUACUGGGCGUAAAGCGCGCGUAGGCGGAACGUUAAGUCCGGUUUGAAAGCCCCCGGCUCAACCGGGGAGAGUGGCUGGAAACUGGCGUUCUGGAGGGCGAUAGAGGAGAGUGGAAUUCCUGGUGUAGCGGUGAAAUGCGUAGAUAUCUGGAGGAACACCGGUGGCGAAGGCGGCAUCCUGGACCGGCAUUGACGCUGAGGCGCGAAAGCCAGGGGAGCAAACGGG